ACCUGCUUUCAAUCACUGUAGAUUAGAUUUGUCUCUUCUAGAAUCUCAUGCACCUCUGAGCUUACUGAUGCCAUAUAACUAACUGCUCAUCGAAAAUGGUUGGUGGAGUUCCUUUUCCUACAGGAGGUAAUCAAGUUAAAAUGAAAUCAUUACAGUGGCCUUAAUCCAAUAUGACUUGUGUCCUUAUAAAAAGAAAACUUGGAGGCAUACACCGAGGAAGAACGCCAUGUGAAGAGACACAGUGAGAAGAUGGCCACCUACAAGUCAAACAGAAAGACUGGAACAGAUCCUUAUCAACCUUAGAAGGAACCAACCAUACUGACACCUUGAUCUUGGACUUCAGCCUCCAGAACUGUGAGAGAGUGAAUUUCUGUUUAAGAUAUUCAGUUUGUGGUACUUUGUUACAGAAGUCUUAGCAAACUAAGACGACCAUCUUGUAAGAGAGAUGCAGGCACAAGAUGCUUAGCCAGACCACAGUCAUGUGUAAGGCAUCUUCUCCUAGUUGGCGGGGCAUGCCCACUCACAUUGUAUUGAUCAGUGCAAGUCACACGAUCAAGGCUGGGAGGUAUGUGCUUUCCUGUGGGGGUGGGAUGCAAGGGGAGUGAAGGUUUGGAAAUUAUAACUCAGGUCACUCCGAUUAGACGUACCGGAUUGAUCCCGGGGUCCUGGAAUCAAGCCUGGCAUUGGUCUCCCUGCUCAGCUGAGAGCCUGCUUCUCCUUCUCCCUCUGCCUGCCUCUCCUCCUGCUUGUGCUCUCUUUCUCUGUCAAAAU